ensembl:lncRNA
UAGAAAGCAGUGUGAAUGUGUUUAAUGAAAGAAAUGAAAAAGCAUGUGUAUUUAUGGACACAUUUUGUUGAAUUGGUAGCUAAAGUGAUUCUGGGCUGUUUUGUCCUGCAUCCUGUGCCUGGCUUCUUGUCUUUCUCAGCCCCAUCUUCCUGCGCUCUCUCUGUUUUUGUUCUCUGGUUUGUACUUCUGCUUCUCUGGCCCAGUUCACUUGCUGCCCACCCACAAAUCAUGGGUCCACUCUCUAUGGGUCCAGUACUCUGUGUACCAGACCCUAGUGGGUUGCAACAUUUGCUGGUAGUCCUUCCUAAAGUUUCUCCUUAUUACAAUCUUCCCAGUGCUUUGUCUUUCUCCAUUUUACUUCAUAGUGAUAACUUCUUCUGUGGUAUGUCAUUGCACAGGUCACUCCUGCAACCUGAUCUCAAUUCUAGUUUGACCUCACCUUCUCAUGGGAGCCCAGUUUCUACUGAUGAAAAUCCUGCAGCAGAGGUCAGCAUUGAAGGAAUCCAGAUUCCUGAGAAACUGGGACAUCACAGGAGUCUGCAAGAAUCUUGCUAUUUACCUUACCUGCAGAGCAGAGCUCAAAUAUUCAUAAACCUACUAAGAUGACUAUAGGAACCAGCCUACAAUCUCGAACCUGACCAAGGGGUGAAGAGAAUGAAAAACAAAGAGACAUAGAAACAGGUUAAAAUCUGGAGGACCAGGGGGGUCCUGUCUCCCUUGGACAUAGCCCAAGUGACUGGCCCACCUUGGCUUUAUUCACUCAGACACAGACACAAACAGAAUCACACCGGAUUCUUCUGUCUCCCACCCUCCACGGUACUUGUCUGGGUAAACAACUUAACCUCAGGUGUUUGCACUUUUCCCUGCAGCAUGUGAGCACACUUGCAUGCCCUUUUUCUUCUCAGUGCUCACUGAGGAGGCCAAUUAGGCCUUGUUCUUUCCAUUCUGUCUUCCACAGAUGACUUUAUGUUGAAUGAGAACUGUCACCACAUGGUCCCAGAUUGUCAAAAGAAAAAGAUUUAGAUCAGAAUGUAACUUAAAACUUUGGUGUAGCACAGUUUCUUUACAUGGGAGACUUAUAAAGAACAAUGCAAUUAUAAACUCCUUGUAGUAUAAAUUCAAAGGGCAGAUCAUAAAAUGUGCACAACAAUGAGAAGAAAUGCAAGAAAAUGGACUCAUCUUUUUCACCUUGGAAAUAAGAAGGUUGAAGUAGAGCUU